rnacentral:tmRNA from 1 species
GGGGCUGACUUGGUUUCGACGGGAAUAUUUGAGCAUAGAUGGCAAGUCGAUUGUCCACGUCACGGACACAAAAAAAUAAACGCAAAAAAUUUAAAAAAUGCAGUAGCAAACAUGUUUGGUGGACGCCAAGCUGUAGCUUUUGCCUAAUAAUAUAAUGGCCUGCGCUUUCUAUUAAUUUUUACUCGUGGAUUUUUAGAGAGCUCAAUUUAACGAGUUAUAGCUAUUAGUUGUCUAGCUAGUAGAAAGAAUUUUUAGACUGGUAUAUUAUCUUGGUCGUUAAUUACUUGGAUAAUAUAUGAGAAUAAUUAGUUAACUAAGCUUGUAGAAGUUUAUGUAGCUUUAUUUUCGGACAGGAGUUCGAUUCUCCUCAGCUCCACCA